UGUUACUUUUAUAUAAAUUUUUUUGGAUUAAUAAUGUUAAUGAAAUUUAACGGAUUUGGCGGCAAGACAGCCCUUUAGAGGAACCUGCCCUGUGAACGAUGAACCACGAAUACUUUACUUUCUUUUGUAAAUCAGUUUGUAUAUCGCUGUUGUCAGUUGAAUUUUAGAAAAUAUUUUCAUGAAUGAAAAAAUCAUUGACUUCAAGUAAAGGUGCAGCUUAUAGGAAAGAUAGAGGUGGGUUACAUUUAGAAGAUUAAAAUGGAUUGGAAAAAGAAAUAUUUCAUGAAGGUGGAUUUAACAGUAAAGCUUAAUAAAGUUUGAUUGGAGCUCUGUUUUGUG
rnacentral:rRNA from 1 species